UACAGAGGAGCCAAGCGUUGUCCGGAUUGACUGGGCGUAAAGCGCACGCAGGCGGCACCGCGCGUGGGGUGUGAAAUCUGGCCGCUUAACGGCCAGGCGCCAUCCCAUACGGCGGAGCUGGAGUGAUGCAGAGGUCGAUGGAAUUGCCGGUGUAGUGGUGAAAUGCGUAGAUAUCGGGAGGAACACCAGUGGCGAAGGCGACUUCCUGGCCUGUUCUUGACGCUGAGGCGCGAAAGCUAGGGUAGCAAACGGG
rnacentral:rRNA from 1 species